rnacentral:SRP_RNA from 1 species
CGGUGGAUGCCGAGCGCCGCGAAGGGGCAGUUUUCGGCGGGCGGUCUCGGAGGCGGGGGCGCGGACGACGAAGAGGACGACCGCGGCACGCGCCAGGCCGGGAACAGGCGAGCAAGGAGGCCG